rnacentral:rRNA from 1 species
GACGAACGCUGGCGGCGUGCUUAACACAUGCAAGUCGAACGGAAAGGCCCUGCUUUUGUGGGGUACUCGAGUGGCGAACGGGUGAGUAACACGUGAGUAACCUGCCCUUGACUUUGGGAUAACUUCAGGAAACUGGGGCUAAUACCGGAUAGGAGCUCCUGCUGCAUGGUGGGGGUUGGAAAGUUUCGGCGGUUGGGGAUGGACUCGCGGCUUAUCAGCUUGUUGGUGGGGUAGUGGCGUACCAAGGCUUUGACGGGUAGCCGGCCUGAGAGGGUGACCGGCCACAUUGGGAGUGAGAUACGGCCCAGACUCCUACGGGAGGCAGCAGUGGGGAAUAUUGCACAAUGGGCGGAAGCCUGAUGCAGCAACGCCGCGUGCGGGAUGACGGCCUUCGGGGUGUAAACAGUUUUCGCCUGUGACGAAGCGUGAGUGACGGUAAUGGGUAAAGAAGCACCGGCUAACUACGUG